rnacentral:rRNA from 1 species
GACGAACGCUGGCGGCGUGCCUAAUACAUGCAAGUAGAACGCACAGUUUAUACCGUAGCUUGCUACACCAUAAACUGUGAGUUGCGAACGGGUGAGUAACGCGUAGGUAACCUGCCUGGUAGCGGGGGAUAACUAUGGGAAACGAUAGCUAAUACCGCAUAAUAUUAAUUAUUGCAUGAUAAUUGAUUGAAAGAUGCAAUUGCAUCACUACCAGAUGGACCUGCGUUGUAUUAGCUAGUAGGUGAGGUAACGGCUCACCUAGGCGACGAUACAUAGCCGACCUGAGAGGGUGAUCGGCCACACUGGGACUGAGACACGGCCCAGUCUCCUACGGGAGGCAGCAGUAGGGAAUCUUCGGCAAUGGACGAAAGUCUGACCGAGCAACGCCGCGUGAGUGAAGAAGGUUGUCGGAUCGUAAAGCUCUGUUGUAAGAGAAGAACGGGUGUGCGAGUGGAAAGUUCACACUGUGACGGUAUCUUACCAGAAAGGGACGGCUAACUACGUG